rnacentral:lncRNA from 1 species
GGCGGGAGCCUUUUUUCCUUUUUUUUUUUUUCCCGGGGAGUCGGCCUCGGGGCUCUGCUCUCCUACCUCAGUCUGCCCUACCCUGGAAUGGGGAAAAUGCGGACAUGCCACUCAGUCCGGCCGCGAACAGUGCUCCAGAACUCAGAGAGUUUUCCAGACGGGUGGAGAUCGCGUUCCCUGCCCGCCGAGGUCCCAUCGCUUCCCUGCUGGGAAGACAAAUGAGGCGCUUUAGCCGUCUCCACGGCCAGCCCCUCCCUCAUAACCCGAGAUUCUUUGUGGGCUCUUAGUCCAUAGCUGCCUUUGAGGUGGUGUAGACCUUGCUAACCAGGACGGCCCAGUAGGCAGAGCUCAUUUUUAUUCCUGUCUGCAAUCGUGCAAAAACGCCUCUUAUGGAAAAGCCAGAGCGCCAGGAGUCAGCAAAACACACUAAAGAUUGGGCAGUCACUGGGGAGAACACUCAGCCCGCCUGCACCCAGGUGAAAUAUACAGCCUUGUUGCUCACACAAAGCCUGUUUGGUGGUUUCUUCACACGGAUGCAUGUGACAUUUGGUGCUGAAGACCCAGGACAGGAGGACUCCUUUGGGAGACCAGUGCCCUGUUGUCGCCCUCACUCCGUGAGGAGAUCCACCUAUGAUCUCAGGUCCUCAGACCAACCAGCCCAAGGAACAUCUUGCCAAUUUCAAAUCGGAAGAUAGGAGUGUCAGGCCUCUGAGUCCAAGCUAAGCCAUCAAAUCCCCUGUGACCUGCACGUGUACAUCCAGAUGACCUGAAGCAACUGAAGAUCCACAAAAGAAGUGAAAGUAGCCUUAACUGAUGACAUUCCACCAUUGUGAUUUGUUCCUGCCCCACGCUAACUGAUACCAUAUAUUCUUCCCCCGCCCUUGAGAAUGUACUUUGUACACCUAUCCCAAACCUAUAAGAACUAAUGAUAAUCCUACCACCCUUUGCUGACUCUCUUUUUGGACUCAGCCCGCCUGCACCCAGGUGAAAUAAACAGCCCUGUUGCUCACACAAA